AAAAUCUUUUUUUCUUUCUUUCAUUUGUUACUGCUGUGGAUUUUUGAAGGACUCCAAUAUUAAAAUAUUUUCUCAGUAUCGUGAUUUGGAUUUCUUUCAACGUAAUAGUCUCAUGGACUGAGCCAAGUGAUUGAGUAAGGAAAGUAACUGACGGGCAUGCUGAACUUCACAGCUUGGUGAACUCCGUACUGACUCUGGAUCUGUAUUGAAACAGGCUCCACUUUAUUAAAGGAGAGGAUCUGUGAAGUUUAUUGGUGCAACCUUCCUUGUAUUUUUCAAAAAUAUACACUGGGAAUAGUUGUUAUGAAAAUGGACAAGAAGAAAUUCACCAUCUAAGGUAAAGAAGAGGUAUUUUUUAUUUGUAGAUUUGAGUGCAGAAGAUGGAAUAUGCUGAGGCAGGAUUAUGAUGAUGCAGUGUGGUUACAUUGACUCAGAUAUCUGUGCUGGAAUGCAGAGUCAGGUUUCUUAAAUAGGUACAGCUGCAUGGACCCUACUAGUGAGAUUGUUUUAAAAUGAUCAUUUAAAUAUUAUUGAG
rnacentral:lncRNA from 1 species